UACGUAGGGGCCUAGCGUUGUCCGGAUUUAUUGGGCGUAAAGAGCUCGUAGGCGGUUCGGUAAGUCAGGUGUGAAAUCUCCACGCUCAACGUGGAGGCGCCACCUGAAACUGCCGUGACUCGAGUCCGGUAGGGGAGUGUGGAAUUCCCGGUGUAGUGGUGAAAUGCGUAGAUAUCGGGAGGAACACCAGUGGCGAAGGCGACUACCUGGCCUGUUCUUGACGCUGAGGCGCGAAAGCUAGGGGAGCAAACGGG
rnacentral:rRNA from 1 species